UUUAUAGUGUAAAAAUUCUCUAAAUGAAAAAACCCUAAAUAUUUUCCUCGUCUCCUUUUGGAGAACAACCCGCCACCCCACACCCAUUUCACCUUUCUUCUCCAACACCACCAUCACUAGUGUACCACCGUAGUUGACAAGACAAACCCCAUUUAACUGCCAUCUCCUCCACCAAGAGAACCACCACCCACACGACCACUACACCACAAUACAAGCUCCGACGAACGACCUCCUCCCUCGCACAAUUAGAGAACCCACAAACCACCACCAAACUUCCACCCGUUUCUCUCCACCAAGCUGCCGCACAUGAACUCGAAGCUCAGGCAACGAACAACACCCAACACCACCAGAUCCCUCAAAACCUCUUUCCUUUCUUCGCUCCGACGAAAAUAGAACCCCACCAGAGGUCACCACCAGCUCUGAAGUCAAAGCAACUACAACUCACUGCUCUGGAACCACUGGAAGCUCACAGAUCAGCAACCAACGAGCUCCAUAGUUUCAAAUCUGAUCCCCACCGCUCGACGCCAUUUUCGAGCUCGCACAACCAACGUCGGACAACUCCAAACACCAUUAUCAUAGUACAGGUUUUUCUUGUUGAUUUAGAUAUCGUGCAGAGCAACUCUUGAAUUUUGGAGACUUGGGUGAACUCUUAGCGUUCGGAGUUACCUAUUUCCCUCUAUUUCAACUUGUACUAGUCUUUAUUUUGCAUUCGGGGAUAGUUAUGCUAUUAUUGUAUCUGUAUAAACACUGUACUUCCUUAUUUAGUCUACUAACUCGACUACCGAUUGA